UCUUCCCUCUGGCGGCGUGCCUAAUACAUGCAAGUCGAGCGAACAGACGAGGAGCUUGCUCCUCUAACGUUAGCGGCGGACGGGUGAGUAACACGUGGAUAACCUACCUAUAAGACUGGGAUAACUUCGGGAAACCGGAGCUAAUACCGGAUAAUAUAUUGAACCGCAUGGUUCAAUAGUGAAAGACGGUUUUGCUGUCACUUAUAGAUGGAUCCGCGCCGCAUUAGCUAGUUGGUAAGGUAACAGCUUACCAAGGCAACGAUGCGUAGCCGACCUGAGAGGGUGAUCGGCCACACUGGAACUGAGACACGGUCCAGACUCCUACGGGAGGCAGCAGUAGGGAAUCUUCCGCAAUGGGCGAAAGCCUGACGGAGCAACGCCGCGUGAGUGAUGAAGGUCUUCGGAUCGUAAAACUCUGUUAUUAGGGAAGAACAAAUGUGUAAGUAACUAUGCACGUCUUGACGGUACCUAAUCAGAAAGCCACGGCUAACUACGUG
rnacentral:rRNA from 1 species